CUUUCAACAACGGAUCUCUUGGUUCCAGCAUCGAUGAAGAACGCAGCGAAAUGCGAUAAAUAAUGUGAAUUGCAGAAUUCAGUGAAUCAUCGAGUCUUUGAACGCACAUUGCGCCCCUCGGUAUUCCGGGGGGCAUGCCUGUUCGAGCGUCAUUACACCCCUCAAGCGAUGCUUGGUAUU
rnacentral:rRNA from 1 species